rnacentral:rRNA from 1 species
UACGUAGGGUGCAAGCGUUGUCCGGAAUUAUUGGGCGUAAAGAGCUCGUAGGCGGUCUUUUAAGUCGGGGGUGAAAUCCUGGAGCUCAACUCCAGAACUGCCUUCGAUACUGGAAGACUCGAGUCCGGGAGAGGUGAGUGGAACUGCGAGUGUAGAGGUGAAAUUCGUAGAUAUCCGCAAGGACACCAGUGGCGAAGGCGGCUCACUGGCCCGGUACUGACGCUGAGGUGCGAAAGCGUGGGGAGCAAACAGG